rnacentral:rRNA from 1 species
GAUGAACGCUGGCGGCGUGCCUAAUACAUGCAAGUCGAACGAAACUUCUUUAUCACCGAGUGCUUGCACUCACCGAUAAAGAGUUGAGUGGCGAACGGGUGAGUAACACGUGGGCAACCUGCCCAAAAGAGGGGGAUAACACUUGGAAACAGGUGCUAAUACCGCAUAACCAUAGUUACCGCAUGGUAACUAUAUAAAAGGUGGCUAUACUACCGCUUUUGGAUGGGCCCGCGGCGCAUUAGCUAGUUGGUAGGGUAAAGGCUUACCAAGGCAAUGAUGCGUAGCCGAAUUGAGAGGUUGAUCGGCCACAUUGGGACUGAGACACGGCCCAAACUCCUACGGGAGGCAGCAGUAGGGAAUCUUCCACAAUGGGCGAAAGCCUGAUGGAGCAACGCCGCGUGGGUGAAGAAGGUCUUCGGAUCGUAAAACCCUGUUGUUAGAGAAGAAAGUGCGUGAGAGUAACUGUUCACGUUUCGACGGUAUCUAACCAGAAAGCCACGGCUAACUACGUG